rnacentral:rRNA from 1 species
GUUGGGCCUGCUCGGUGAGAAGAAAAAUUUAACAGCUGCGGUAUUAUAACUGUACUAAGGUAGCAUAAUAAUUUGCCUUAUAAAUUAAGGCUAGAAUGAAUGGUUUGACGAAAAUUAGACUGUCUUUAUUUUAUUUGUUAGAAAUUAAUUUUUAUAGUGAAAAAGCUUGAAUAAUUUAAGGGGACGAGAAGACCCUAUUGAGCUUUAUUUAUUAAUAUUUAAAUAUAAAUAUAUAAUUUAUAUUAUGAAAAUUAUGUUGUAUAUAUAUAUAUUUGAUUGGAUUUAAUUUUGAUUGGGGUGAUCAAGGAAUAAAGAUAAAGUAACUUCCUUAAAAUUAAUGAUUGUUUUUAUGGAGUAAUAAACCAAGUUUUUUGCUUAUAAGAUAAGUUACCAUAGGGGUAACAGCGUAAUUUUUUUUGAGAGUUCAUAUUGAAAAAAGAGAUUGCGACCUCGAUGUUGGAUUAAAAAUUACCUUAAGG